CCAGAGGCUCCGAAGGCGCUUUUAUUGGAAGGCACCGAGCUCGCGAGGAGCGCGGGGAAGAGCCGCCGUGCCGGGGGCCCCAGCGUGGGGCUCGGCCCCUGCGGCUGCCCCCAACACCCGGGGGACCGGGCGCUGCAGGGGCCGGGGCGGCGAGGCACAGGCGUGAAUGCCGGGGCAGUGCCGUGGGGCCGGGCAGGAGAGGGCAGGUCCAGAGUCCCCCCUGCCCAGGAGUGUGGGGCAGGAGCCUGAGGCAUGGAGAGGGCUGGGGGGCUGCCCUAUGGGAUGUGCCUAUGUGGGGCUGGGGGGCUGCCCCAUGGGAUGUGCCUAUGUGGGGCUGGGGGGGCUGCCUCGUGGGAUGUGCAUAUGUAGUGGUAGGGGGCUGCCCCAUGGGAUGGGCAUAUGCAGUGUGUGGAAGGGGGCUGCCCCACAGGAUGUGCAUAUGUAGUGUGGGGGGGGCUGCCCCACAGGAUGUGCAUACCUGGGGCUGGGGGGGCUGCCCCAUGGGCUGUGCAUAUAUGGGGCUGGGGGGCUGCCCCGCAGGACGGGUGUAUGUGGGGCUGGGGCAGGCCGUGGGAGCGUGCAUGCUGGGGCCGCAGCCACCCCAUGGGGUGUGCGUAUCGAGAGCGGGGGCUGCCCCACGGGGCGCACGUGCCUGGGGCUGCAGCCGCCCCAUGGGGUGUGUGCAGCUGGGACGGGGGGGGCUGCCCCUCUGGAGCGUGCAUAUGUGGGGCUGGGGGCUGCCCCGGGAGUGUGCGUACUGGGGGGGCGGCCACCCCCUGGGAUGUGCGUAUCUAGGGUCAGGACUGCCGCAGGGCACGCGUGCUGGGGGGCUGCCCCACGGCGUGUGCGUACCUGGGGCCAGGUCCCCGCAGGGGCUGUGCGUACCYGGGGUAGAGCUGCCCUAUGGGACAGGGCUGCCCUAUGGAGUGCUCCUCCCUAGGGCCAGGUCACCCCACAGGGAGGGGGUGCCAGGGCCAGGUCACCCCCCCGGGAUGGACGUACCUUGGGUUAGGGCUGCCCCAUGGGGUGUGCGUACCUGGGGCAGCCCCACGGGGUGUGCGUACCUGGGGUCAGGGCUGCCCUAUGGGUUAGGGCUGCCCCAUGGGUUAGGGCUGCCCCAUGGCAUGCACGUACCUGGGGUUAGGGCUGCCCCAUAGGGUGUGCGUACCUGGGGCAGCCCCACGGGGUGUGCGUACCUGGGGUCAGGGCCACCCUAUGGGUCAGGGCUGCCCCAGGGGGUGCUCCUACCUAGGGCCAGGUCACCCCAUGGGGCUGCCCCACGGGGUGCGGGUACCUGGGGUUAGGGCUGCCCUAUGAGCUAGGGCUGCCCCCCGGGGGGUGCAUUAUCUAGGGCCAGGUCACCCCACGGUGUGCACAUACCCGGGGGCAGGGCCACCCCAUAGGAUGUGCGUACUGGGGGCCAGGUCACCCCAUGGAGCGUGCACACUGGAGGCCAGGUCACCCCAUGGAGCGUGCAUACCGGGGGCCAGGUCACCCCAUGGAGUGGGCACACUGGAGGCCAGGUCACCCCACGGAGUGUGCA
rnacentral:lncRNA from 1 species